UAGUUGCGAAAAAUGUAUGUGUGUGUGAAAGAGAGCGAGAGAGAAAGAUAAAGAGAGGAAGAGAGAGAGAGAAAGGUAAUAGAGCAUGUGCGUGCGUGUGAGAGAAGGGUAAAAAAAUGGGGCGAAGUAGAGAUAAUUAGGAAAGAGUGGGUUGGAUCGUUCGACUGUCCGAUACGUAACAAUGAACUGUGCGUGUGUGGAAAGCUCGAAGUGCGGAAAAUUGGGGAGGGAGGGAAAAGGUAGAAAAAGAUGCGAUAUUAACGCGUACGAAUGUCUCGCGCUCUCGUUCUUCCCCUGUUCUUCGCCACGCUUCAUCUUUCUCGCGUGAGGAAUCAAAUGAGACGUGACGGGAGAUCGAAGUGCGCUUUUGCCUCGUUUCUCUUCGAUCACUCACGAUGAGAUUCGCGUAGCGUGAAGAUCGAGAACGAAAGCCUCGAAAGUAGAAAGUCCAGUCUCCGAUUACCCUCUCGGCGAGGCGUAUAAGAGACAGCAUAUUGUGGUUUUUUUCUAAGACAUUACUUUAUUUAUUCAGCUACCGCCGAUUUAUCCGCUCACGCGCGCGAAUCCUCACUUGAUGAUGGAUGCGGGAUUUCGGCGGGGCGCCAGGAUCUCGAAUAUUAGUGCAAAUUCAUCGCGUCGACGAGUGUGAACGUCGCCGCGUUAAGCGCAAAGCUCGCUGGCCGAUCCGAGGGUGCUCGGACGACGAUUCGUUCAGUCGCCGUUACUUCAGAUUAGCGUAAAUACGCGAAAGUCGUGAUAUGAGAUUAUUGUAACUGUCGAUUAAUCGCGUUGAUGGAGAAUUACGCGCACUAAGUGCGCUCUGGCACAUGUGAUGUCACUCGAAAAAUGGAUAAUACGUUCAAACGCGAGACGAAUCGCGUCCUGGCUGCAUUCCUCUCGGUACCAGCGAAACGCCCGUUUUUCCGGGCGCAUCUUUUCACACACAUAUACACUCAUACAUACACACACGCAUACAUCCGUACACCAUGUGCGAUCACACUUGCCAUUUAUAACAAUAAUUCUUUUCCCACUCGCUAUUAUUGCCGUAUUAAUAUGAUUAUACUUAUUCUGGUUACUAUUAUUAUUGCCAUUGUCUCACAUCGUCAUUAUUAUUAUUAAUUAUUAUAUCAUUAUUAUUAUUAUUAUUAUUAUUAUUAUCACUUAUGAUCGUGUAUAUUUUCUGUGUCUCUUGUCUAGUAGCUACGUGUAAUCUCUAACGCCUCAUUACUUACUCUCGUAAUACUAUCAGAGCAGGAUGUGCAGGGAGGAAGUACUUUACUCACUUCACUUGCUCUCACUUAACAUUGCUCUAUUACCACUAUCACUACUACUACUACUACUACUAUUACUACUUUCUCCGCCACCCGCUCUAUAACUAUUACGUUUGCUACUAGUGCUAUUGCUGUUACCACCAAAUCACCACCAAAUGCUAUUACUACUACCACUUACUACUACUUACUAUUACUACUUACCGACUAUUUAUUUAUUAAUUUAAUUUAUUAUUAAAUAACAUAACUAUUAUGUUUUAUUUAAGGAUUAAACUGAUUUGUGUUUGGUUCAAAACGUCGUUCGUUUUAUUUCUUAUUAGAAUGUUUCAGUUGCCACAUCCAUCACUGGUCGUCCCGUCCCUCCCUACAACUCUCCCCCGUUCACCAUGACAUUCCACGAGUCUCUUCCUGACAUUCCGCGAGUCACAGACUGAUGUAAUAGCGAUGAUGUAACGUUACCGGCGAGGCCCGCUCAACCUCGAUGCACGAGACACGCUCAUGGAUCCUGGUUCGUAGCGUCUUCGUUAUCGAUAUAGUUAUCGGCGUAAUUGCGAGCACCGCCACACGAUGCGAACGGAAUCAAUGCGAAUCGGAAGCUUGUGCAUCGCCAAGAUGAUGACUUGAAAGUGACGUUUCAAAGUACAAUUCAUCCCCCAUGCACUGUUGGCGGCGUUCGCGAUGAAGCGUGAGCAAUGCUUUAGAGAUUAUGGUAUGCGUGAUUCGAGUUUUAAGCGUUGUAGCCUUUAAUACUCUACUUAACGGCUCCCGGAACAUGUGCAUGUGUUCCGAAGAGAGUACGUUGCGGUCGCGAGACCGCAAUUAUGGUGUCUGCAUCUAUGCGGAGAAAUGACACCGGCCAGCGUGCGAGCGAUCUGGUCGCGCGCGCGAGCGCGAGAGAGGCGCUGUGAAAAUAAAUAUAAUUUCGUUACACUGAUGGGGUAUACGCGAUGUCGAUCCCUUGCGAGGACUGGUGAUCCCUCGGGAGACCAACGCCACGAAACGUCGCAGCGGCAGGGAUCAGGUCACGAUCAUCGAAUUGUUCCUGCCGUUCCGGGGAGCGCCGGAUCCAAGAUUGUCCACGAGCAUUCGCGAAUUCCCAUCUUCUCAGUCAUUUUACGGGCGAAUAAAAUGAACGUAGAAAAAGGAAGAAGCAGGUACGAAGGUACAAGUACGUGAUUCACGUCGAGGAGAGCACGAAAGAUCGAUUAAAGAGUGGUGCGAGCCCUAGCCCUUAAGGGGUGCCGACUCGCUCGCAACGAUUCGUCCACCGAAUUAAAUGUUUGAAGGGAAAGAGAAAAGAGAGAGAGAGAGAGAAAGAGUGAAAGUGAGAGAGAAACGAGUUCGAGGGAGAGGAAGUGCGAGAGCGUGAGAAAGAGAGGGAGAGAAAGGGCAGACAGGAAGAAUGAGCACGCUAAUCUACUUAACUAUAAUAUUACAUACGAUUAUUACGUUAGAUAUACAUUAUGUGUAUUGUAUUUAUGUCUCAAUAAUCGUUGUUAGUUAUAUCGCUAUGAUGAUGACGAUAAUGAGUACGAUAAUUACCGAUGACUUCAUAGAGGGGCAGGGGAAGUGCACGCGGAACCGGGCACGCAACACACACAUGCAGACUCACGUAUCUUGCUACACGCGCGCGCGCGUACGAGCUGAUCCCGUGCGAUCGCGAGGAACUCGUUGCAUUCCGGAGAUCUCGUUUAUUCCGUUCACUCAUGUAACAAAUGUAUUUAUUUAAGGACGAAUUCGGCUCUAGAUGCGACUGUACAUUAUCUCGAUUUCUCAAAGUCAACCUGAUCUGCAACUGAAGAGACGUUGAUGCUCCAUGUCGGGCGAACGUGAGACGACAAAGAAUAUAUCCAACACAUUGCGCGCAUUUGAUAAUACAGUUUGCCCGAAUUUCUGAUGCACCUUGCCGAUCGCACGGACGCGCUCGUAGGAAGCGGACCUUCCCGACGACAGGAUUUUUAAGGACAUCCUGCAAAGAUCUCGAACGAGACGAGAGCCUCGAAGUAGAUCGGUACAUUCGCGGUUUCUAACUGAUUUCUGCGAUGGACGAACGAUAUUACAUUUAUUAAACGAUUUACAUUUAACCAUUAGUCGCAUUAUCGAUAUUAUUGUACUACUAACUAGCGCUCGUACCCUCUUAUACUCGUAAAAAAAAAGAAGAUGAUGACGAAGAGAGGAAAGGAAGGAAGGGCAGAGAUUGCGAGGAACGGAAACGCGUGCUGGAAAACCGAACGCGACUUAGUUUGUCGGAUGAUGAUGAUAAUGAUUGGUGCACGAUGAUGGGAAUUGAAUAUUGUUGCGGGAACGGCGGAAGUAGCGUAACGUAACGCGAGAUUAACGUUGCGUUGGGGCUUCCUCGCGAUACCGUAUUCGUGCGGCAUGACAAGACGCUAAAACGCGGACACGUAACGCUGAAAUCCAAGCGGACGAUUCUCCACGUGGAUUCGCGGGAUUUGGGAGAUUUUGGGGUGACUUCGAGACACGGUAUCGCGGGGACUGCCCAUUGUUCGUUCGCGUCGGCGAAGAAGCCGGAUUUGCCGUCGUCGACGAAGAUCCCCGAGGAUCGAGGCGCGUGAUUGCGAGGGGUGGAUCCUCGGGGUGCAUCUCAACGGCGGGAAUCCUUCUGGUAGCGCGGAAUUGUUCGCGGAGACAGAGGGGAGGAAGGGAGAGAGAGGGUGGAAAACGGUAUUCUCGGUAGGGUAACGCGAGGGAUGAGAGGGACUUGACCGGAUGGAGAGCAAGUCGACUGGAAAAUGACGUGCAGUGAGUUGAAAUGAACGAUGUAGCGUAUCGAGCCAAGAUACCGUAAGACUCAAAAAACUUGAACGUGUUCGUGGAGACUUAAACUUUUAUACGCUCGUCCUGGAAGGUUGGACAUUCCGUUAAUUUCGUCAUGUUCUUUCUCAUACAUGAAAUACGGUUCUACGAUAGACAUUCUGCGAUAUGUAGAUCUUUUCCUAUUGACUCUGUCUAGGUGAUCCUGGAAAUAUUAGCAAUGUCGAUCUUGAAACGGUGAUCGGUCCUUUUAAUAAAUUCUCUUGAAAUUCGUCGUCCUUUCCGCCGUGGCGGAAACGACUGACCGAGUUGCUGAUAUUUCUCGAGGUGUGAAUUUUGAGAUUAAUCGAAUUAUUAAGGGCGGCGCGCGAGCGCGCGAUGUUUAUUCGUCUCACACUUGUGCAAUAUGGAGUCCCAUCGAUCGGACGAGGCGCGGCUCCGGGAAAAUCCAAAAGUGGUGCUGUAGUCAAAAAAAUCCUUAUCUUUCCUUGCCGGUGCCUCGCCGAAAAGGUGGGCCGAUCGAACGAACGAAAUUUGAAACAGUGAAAGAAAGAAAGUGAGGGAGAGAGAGAGAGAGAAAGAGAGAACUAGUUACGUAAUAAGUGCAUUCACGACAGCCAUCGACAUUGACUAUGAAAAUCAUCCGUUCGGAGCUGGAAAUGAUAUCUCGAUUGACAACGAACGUUUCUUUGCAAUUAUGAUUAUCAGUCGGAGGGAUUCCAGCGUGUAUGGGAUCGUUUUGUCGAACGGUUCCGCUGAAAAUCCCGGGCCGGCGCGAUUCCCGACUCGAGUCCUGGACCGAUCCGCGGACUCGCGAGUGCGCCGGAAGUUUGCCCGUAGAUUUUCAGCGAAACUGUUCCCCGGGUGUUGCUGAGUCGCUGUAUGCUAAAACACGCACAACCGUCGCCCGUGUCGUGACGGCCACUUGUUUGUUAGUUGUAAAACACGCGAGAUUGUCCAUGAAUCCAUUGUCAUUAAUCGCAUGGCCAUCCAUCACGAUCGUGGCAUUCGUCCUUAGGAUCAUCGUUUCAGUUUCGCUUAAAGAUCCAUUCGUCGACUCGUUGACACGUUAAUUAUUCUCGUCGCGCUCAUUAUGUAUUGUCAUCGCAAUGCCACGAUUUCAUCGAAUCGUUCACUAUUACACGUACAUACACACGUACAUACACACACACAGACAUACAUACACUCGUACAAAAAUUCGCGCGAUCAUUCGUAAUCAUUAUUCCAUUUCAUGCAUUAAAUGCGGCAUAAUAAAUUUAUUACAAGACUCACAGUCAUAUUUUGAUUCAUUCAUCCACCCAUCGUCAUGAUUCAUCUCAUUGAUCAUCCUCCUUCGCAUUCGAGGUAUAGAGAAAAUCCUUGGCGAGAGAAACGAUCCAUCUCUCGUUAUACUAUUAUUAAUCGAUCGAAUAAACAUCGCUCGCCCCAAGGGGGAGAUCUUUUCCGAUCCGGACACCCUCUCAUCGCUCGAGAAAUAAUUUUCAUUAACCAGGGAAACGGGAAUUGCAUCCACGAAUUUUAAUUAUCUCGUUGUGGACUCCGCGAGCGCCCUUGCAUGUAUUUUUCUGUUUUUUCGAUUUGCAUUAAAAAAAACGUCGCUGCGAGCGAUAAAUAAAUUUCUCGAAAUUGUCUUGGAAUUAAAAUGAUCCGUCUUUUUUUUAAGCCAACAGACGAGAGAUAAUUUUUUAAACAUUCAGCAAAUUUCAUCAAUUGCUUCUGCAAUGGCUUUAGCAAGGGGAUGCAAGCGGCCCUCGUGGCGUCGGCAACACGAUACGAAAAAGAGGGUAGGUAAAGACAUUGCGUAGUGCGAGACGAGCGGGAGAUACGAUACAGCUUUGCGCGGAGACGGACGUGCACGCACGCAUUCACGCACGUCGCAAGUGCAUGCGUGAGUGCGAGCGAGAUGCAAAGAGAGCGCGGGAUGGAGGAGCAGCGUCGCGGGAGAACAGCAAAAGCAACUCUAGCUCACCGUAGGCCUAACUAAGAAAAAAUGAAAAGUAUUUAUGUACUGUCUAAACUAACUAACUUAAAAAUAUGCGGACGAGAAAAGAGCAGGAGAAACAGUGAGAGAGAAAGAGAGAAAGCCAGAGAGGAGAUAAUUGUGCAAAUAGAAAAGUGAGCGUGUGAGAGAACGAAUGAGUGAACGAGCGUGCGAAAGGGAGCAAGACAGAGAGAAUGAGAUAGAAGAUAUUUAAAAUACUCGAGAAAUUACUCCGAGACGAGCCACAACGAUCCACAAAACUGAUAAUUACUCUGUAACAAAAAAACGGUGGAAUAAGGGAGAAUCGGAUUAGAGACGGAUUAGAGCGAAUGAGGCGAGCGCGGAAUAAAGCAGGGGUUGAAAGGGACGAAAAUAAGGAUGGGCCGAGGGGCAGAGAAGAGAAUGAGAAAGAAAAAGAUAAUCUAUAAUCUUCUGUACAUGUUUUGAUUAUAUUCUAAUUAUUAAUUAUCAUAACUUAUAAUAACUAUUAAUUAAUUAAAUUAAUUGAUAUCUAUGAAACUAUAUUUAAACGACAAAAAAAACGUGGUAGCUAGUCUGUCAAUGGGUGUAUAAAUAUUUAAUUACGAUAACUCUAUAGUGAUACUACAAAGAAAAAAACAGAGAACAAAGAUAACUUACGAGCGAAGAUGCGAGAACGAGAGAAAGAGAGAGAGAGUGCGAAAGCGAGAAAGAAUCUAGAGAACGAUUGUCAGGGUGUCAUGAAAAGGAAGCAAACGCGAGAAGAAUGAAAGGGGCAUGAAAGAGACGACGCGAGAAUGACGCACACAUGCAUCCUCACGAACACACACGUACAUACAUCCUCAUGCAUACAUACUCACACACACAGACACAAGGAUUAUACACAGUAUAAAGAUAUAAAUGUAAUUAAAAUUAAAAACUAAACGGGAAGAAAGGAAAAACAACGGAAAGUCGAGCGCGCGGACGUAAGCACGAACAAUUUCGAGAUAAACGAAGACAAACGGUUUUCUAACGGGUGUCCCCUGAAGAUUUUCGUUGUGCGUUCGACAAUGCGUUUUACCAGCGUAUCGAGGGCAGGGGGAGGAGAAGAGUGAAGGAGGGUGGGAAGGGGAGAUCUUCCGGUUUAUAAUCUUCUACUUGAGAGCAGGUCCGGGUCCUCCUCGUGGCCGGGGGGCGCGACACGCAUCUUCCCGAUUUUUCACACACGGUCCCCGCGGAUAGAUCGGUCAUCACCGCGCGUACCCCUCGACGAGGGCCCUAAUUUCUUUCGCAGAGAUCCUAAUUUCGCGAAUCAGGCUGUAGUAGGAAUGGCGUGUGCGUGCUUCGCGUUUCCCAUCUUGAUGAUCGCGAAGGGAAAGCCCGCACACGCACACGCGACAACGCAGCUUAUUACGUUGAUGAUAUCGGUUCUGAAUUUUCAGCAUUUCGAUUGCCACGGCUUAAUCGCGCGACCGAGAGUCGUUCUGUUCUUUCCUGAAUCGCGAUGGCGCCGAGAGACCCUCUCGCUCAUCGAUAAGACUGUUCACCGAAUCUCGCAACGACCGACGUGCGUAAUUCACGUUUCUAAACUUAAGCUACUCGAUAAAGCACUCGUGCGACUAAAGGGGGUGGGAUUAUUACCUGUGAAGUGCACGCACACACGCGUGGCAAGGAGUGAAGAAGCAUUUAACGUCGAUUCGAGCUUCUCGAGGCUGGAGUUCGUCGAGGGGACAGCUGGAGAACGGAGUUCCGCUUGGCUUUCGUCCCACACGUGAAUCGCUAUCGGUUCCGUGAUGGACUCUCGUACAUUUUUUGGGGGGGCAACUUCCUUUUUCAGCUGUCCGCAAUUUUUUUUUAUUUCGGACAAAACACGAAAGCACCCAUUGCUACACGUUCUAGAUGAUUGAAGCUACGCUCGAUAGCUCUACCGCUCUAGUCACCUAGACUGGACUGAUCGAGAACCCAGAUUUCUACGUCCGGGUCAGCUGUUUCUAGAUGACUCGGACCGCAUGUAAUCGCGGGGUAUGAGACUACUGGAAACAGUUUGGCGUUAACGCGAGAAUGUAACAGAGAUAAGCCAAUAUCAUAAAGAUGAUCUUCCUUCCGAGCGUUCUCACGAGCACCUCGAGGAAGCUCGGCAGUGAUCCUUUGCUCCCUGUUUCGGCGUAUCGUUUAACGUCACGCAUACACAUGUGAGACUGUCGAAAUUUGGUAUAACCAGGCGAUAAAAUAAAAUACGCAAUCACGUUUGUCGUUAAACGCUCGCCGAACAUACGGAUCUUUAUCUUCGAAACGUACGCGUAGAAAAGUUGUCGUCGCUUGGAUUCCCGAAUGCAUAGUUCCGAAGGAACGUUGCAACUGCGUGUAACUGCGUAAGAAAAGAGGAAAAAUAAUAAAAGAGAGAAACAUAAUCAUGCGAUUACUACGAGGUAACACUACGAAAAUUAGAAUUCAUUAAUACGUGAAGGGGUAAGGGAUGAGAUGAGAGGGACGAGGGGUUGGACUGUAGAAUUUUUCUACAGACAUACAUUUGCGAGGUGCUUGUGUAGAAGUAAGAUUUAGAGGCCAAUGUCGAUCGUUCAAUCGAAACAUUCCAUCCGAAUCCUGAGGGUUCUUGCGCGACACCGAAGACUUCCUUCUCUCGUCUACAAUCUCAGAUUCCGCUUCUCCUCUUUUUGUUCAGUUACUCUCUGGGUCACCCCAAAGGGGGUGAAGCCGAAACUGCGAAAUUGUAACUCGAUGCGACUUGAUUUUCAGUGUUUCCCAUGUGUGCGCGAGUGCACCUUCACGUUACGUUCGGAAAAGUUUGGCGAUUAUUUCCAACUGAAUUGUCGCAUAUAUAUAUAUACGUAUAUAUACAUGAUUUGCAGACGGAUACAAUAUUGAAUCGAGAAACAGAGACGAGAUGAUCAUAUACAUUCCCGCACAUUCCAUGGCGUGGACCCUCUACGUACAAAAAAA